UAUAAAGUUGUAGCGUCACCUUUGGCUGAGUGCAUACUAAGUAGUGCAGUAGUGGGCGGUUUGGGACUCAGCCUUGUUUUUAAGCUAGCUGGUUAGCUUACCCUAAUUUUCACGGCAGCUACAAGUGUUUAUGCAUAGAAGCGGACGAAGGAGCACGAAAGUGCACGAAGAAUCACGAAGGUGCACGAAGAAGCACGAAGGUGCACGAAGAAGCACGAAGGCGCACGAAGAAGCACGAAGGCGCUCAAAGGGGGAACCUACAGGCAGCAUCGCACCUCAUCACUGAAAGAGCUGACUGCAGCAGCUGUGGCAAGGACACCGAGAAACGCUCCAGCAACUAAACCUCAUUAAAAAUCCAUUCUCACUCCGCAGCACCGCUUUCAAUUUGAUACCGCGCCCGAAAAUCUCAUCUACAUAAUUUCAAAAUAUCUAAUGAGAGUUGUAGAGAAAUAUAGGGUCUGCAUCAAAACCUAAUGAGCUCUCUACAUAGACGCAUUUUACAUCAUCCUACUUGCACCUGAGAGGAAGGCUGCCUGAAUUCUUAGAUGCCUUAAAAUGCUGCCUACUGAGAUGCCUUAUUCUGACUGAUAUUCUGAUCGAAUAAUGAGAGAGUUCCGUGUGCUUACUCAGUGUGGCUCUUCUCACAAUUAAUUUGCAAUUUUGGGGUUUGUCAGAGACAGUUUAACAGUUUUCAGUACACAGAGGAAGAUGUUAGCUGGAAUGCUAGCGGGUUGUCGCCUCAGCCUAUUGGUUUGAAUGGCCUGAGGCUAACUGUGGCGCUUG